rnacentral:tRNA from 1 species
GUCUUUGUGAUAUAGUGGUCAGCACGCUCGACGCGUAUUCGAGAGGUCCGUGGUUCGAGUCCCGGUGAAGGCA